GGUGGGGUUCCCCCCGAGCGGCCAAAGGGAGCAGACUGUAAAUCUGCCGUCAUCGACUUCGAAGGUUCGAAUCCUUCCCCCACCACCA
rnacentral:tRNA from 1 species